rnacentral:rRNA from 1 species
AAACUUUCAACAACGGAUCUCUUGGCUCUCGCAUCGAUGAAGAACGCAGCGAAUUGCGAUAAGUAAUGUGAAUUGCAGAAUUCAGUGAAUCAUCGAAUCUUUGAACGCAGCUUGCGCUCUCUGGUAUUCCGGAGAGCAUGCCUGUUUCAGUGUCAUGAAAUCUCAACC